GACGAACGCUGGCGGCGUGCUUAACACAUGCAAGUCGUACGGUAAGGUCCUUUCGGGGGUACACGAGUGGAGCACGGGUGAGUAACACGCGUGUAACCUGCCCACAACUUUGGGAAAACGCUAGGAAACUGGUGCUAAUACUGGAGAUGUGCUCCUGCUGCAUGGUGGGGGUUGGAAAGCUCCGGCGGUUGUGGAUGGACUUGCGGCCUAUCAGCGUGUUGGUGGGGUAGUGGCCUACCAAGGCGGCGACGCGUAUCAGGCCUGAGAGGGUGACCGGCCACAGUGGGACUGGGACACGGCCAAGACUCCUACGGGAGGCAGCAGUGGGGAAGGUUGCACAAGGGGCGCAAGCCUGAUGCAGCAACGCCGCGUGCGGGAUAACGACCUUCGGGUUGGAAUCCGAUUUCAGCAUGGACGAAGCUUUUUGUGACGGUACCUGCAGAAGAAGCACCGGCUAACUACGUG
rnacentral:rRNA from 1 species